CAAACCUGCAUUUAGCAUGGCGGCAAUCUUGUUGUUUCUUACUGAUAACAAGAGAAAGUCCACUCCGACGGAAAAAAUAACAACUUUAUCACAAUUUCAUGUCAAUACGGAGUCUGGAAGAACAAAGCUAAGCCAAUGGGGGUCAUUCCAAAAUUCCCGAUUGAAUACGCCCGCUAAUGAUAAGAGAUUUCUCACUCAUGUUACUGAUAGCAGAAAACGGCAAUAAAAGGUCAAGAAAAUUUUAGAAUGGCAAGCCAGAAGGGUCAGGCAGUCAGUUCAAUUAGUUAGAAGAAUCAAUUAGUACAAGGGUCACCUACGGACCAGACGUCUGGGAGUCUGCUCUCAGACUCUGGACAGAAGACAGGAAAAAUGUAGUAAAGAUGAUUCCGU
rnacentral:lncRNA from 1 species